AACAAACGCUGGCGGCGUGCCUAACACAUGCAAGUCGGACGCGAAAGGGCUUUCGGGCCUGAGUAAAGUGGCGCACGGGUGAGUAACGCGUGGGUAAUCUGCCUCUAAGUUGGGAAUAACUCAUCGAAAGGUGGGCUAAUACCGAAUAAUGCUGCAUGACCGCGGUUGUGCAGCCAAAGAUGGCCUCUGCUUGCAUGCUAUCGCUAAGAGAUGAGCCCGCGUACCAUUAGCUAGUUGGUCGGGUAACGGCCUACCAAGGCGACGAUGGUUAGCUGAUCUGAGAGGAUGAUCAGCCACACUGGAACUGAGACACGGUCCAGACUCCUACGGGAGCAGCAGUGAGGAAUCUUGCGCAAUGGGGGAAACCCUGACGCAGCAACGCCGCGUGAGUGAGGAAGGCCUUGGGUCGUAAAGCUCUGUCGGUGGAAAGAACGUAAUGAGUGUUAAUAGCAUUUGUACUUGACGGUACCGCCAAGGAAGCGACC
rnacentral:rRNA from 1 species